rnacentral:rRNA from 1 species
CUGCCAGACUCCUACGGGAGGCAGCAGUGGGGGAUAUUGCACAAUGGGGGAAACCCUGAUGCAGCGACGCCGCGUGGGUGAAGAAGCGCCUCGGCGCGUAAAGCCCUGUCAGCAGGGAAGAAAAUGACGGUACCUGAAGAAGAAGCCCCGACUAACUACGUGCCAGCAGCCGCGGUAAUACGUAGGGGGCAAGCGUUAUCCGGAUUUACUGGGUGUAAAGGGAGCGUAGACGGCCAGACAAGUCAGAAGUGAAAGCCCAGGGCUCAACCCUGGGACUGCUUUUGAAACUGCAGGACUUGAGUGGAGUAGAGGUAGGCGGAAUUCCCGGUGUAGCGGUGAAAUGCGUAGAGAUCGGGAGGAACACCAGUGGCGAAGGCGGCCUACUGGGCUUUAACUGACGCUGAAGCACGAAAGCGUGGGUAGCAAACAGGAUUAGAUACCCUCGUA